CCUACGGGAGGCAGCAGUAGGGAAUUUUCGGCAAUGGGGGGAACCCUGACCGAGCAACGCCGCGUGAAGGAAGAAGGAAUUCGUUCUGUAAACUUCUGUUAUAAAGGAAGAAAGACGGAUGGAGGAAAUGACAUCCGAGUGACGGUACUUUAUGAGAAAGCCCCGGCAAAGUACGUGCCAGCAGCCGCGGAAAUACGAAGGUGGCAAGCGUUAUCCGGAAUGAUGGGGCGUAAAGAGGGAGCAGGCGGCAGCAACGGUCUGUGGUGAAAGACUGAAGCUAAACUUCAGUAAGCCAUUGAAACCGGGCAACUAGAGUGCAGGAGAGGAUCGCGGAAUUCCAUGUGUAGCGGUGAAAUGCGUAGAUAUAUGGAGGAACACUAGUGGCGAAGGCGACGAUCUGGCCUGCAACUGACGCUCAGUCCCGAAAGCGUGGGGAGCAAAAAGGAUUAGAUACCCUUGUAGUC
rnacentral:rRNA from 1 species